UACGUAGGGUGCAAGCGUUGUCCGGAAUUAUUGGGCGUAAAGAGCUCGUAGGCGGUUUGUCGCGUCUGCUGUGAAAACCCGAGGCUCAACCUCGGGCCUGCAGUGGGUACGGGCAGACUAGAGUGCGGUAGGGGAGAUUGGAAUUCCUGGUGUAGCGGUGGAAUGCGCAGAUAUCAGGAGGAACACCAAUGGCGAAGGCAGAUCUCUGGGCCGUAACUGACGCUGAGGAGCGAAGCAUGGGGAGCGAACAGG
rnacentral:rRNA from 1 species